ACCAGCUGUGUCAAUCUCGAGCUUUCUUACAUUUCAGGAAAAUGAUCCCGCCAUAGCAGUUGGCUCUAGAGCACAUCUCCAAGAUGAAGCUGUUGCACAGGUCAGAAAAUUUAACAGGAUUUUAUAGAAGUUGUCCAAUUUGCUUGUAUUUUAUAUUUUAGAAUAAUCGUGAUUUCACUUUUCUUCAUUUGACUUACUUAGCGAACACGUUUACGGAAUCUGUUGAUGUAUGGCUUUCAUUUUCUUGUUUGGUUUCUUUGUGUCAGAGGUGUCCGAGAUACACAGGUGAAUAUGUUACUAUAGGCAUUUCCAUUUCUGUGCUGAUUUAUGCAUUCACUAGUAUAAAAAAAAUUAAAAAU